rnacentral:rRNA from 1 species
AUCGAACGCUGGCGGCAUGCCUUACACAUGCAAGUCGAACGGGAACAGGUUAAGCUGACGAGUGGCGAACGGGUGAGUAAUGUAUCGGAACGUGCCCAGUCGUGGGGGAUAACUGCUCGAAAGAGCAGCUAAUACCGCAUACUACCUGCGGGUGAAAGCGGGGGAUCGCAAGACCUCGCGCGAUUGGAGCGGCCGAUAUCAGAUUAGGUAGUUGGUGAGGUAAAGGCUCACCAAGCCGACGAUCUGUAGCUGGUCUGAGAGGCCGACCAGCCACACUGGGACUGAGACAGGGCCCAGACUCCUACGGGAGGCAGCAGUGGGGAAUUUUGGACAAUGGGGGCAAGCCUGAUCCAGCCAUGCCGCGUGCGGGAAGAACGCCUUCGGGUUGUAAACCGCUUUUGUCAGGGAAGAAAAGGUUCUGGCUAAUACCUGGGACUCAUGACGGUACCUGAAGAAUAAGCACCGGCUAACUACGUG